rnacentral:rRNA from 1 species
CCUACGGGAGGCAGCAGUAGGGAAUCUUUCACAAUGGGCGAAAGCCUGAUGGAGCAACGCCGCGUGCAGGAUGAAGGCUUUCGGGUUGUAAACUGCUUUUAUAAGCGAGAAAUAUGAUGGUAACUUAUGAAUAAGGAUCGGCUAACUACGUGCCAGCAGCCGCGGUCAUACGUAGGAUCCGAGCAUUAUCCGGAGUGACUGGGUGUAAAGAGUUGCGUAGGUGGCAUAAUAAGUAGCUAGUGAAAUCUGGUGGCUCAACCAUUCAGACUAUUAGCUAAACUGUUAAGCUCGAGACCGUUAGGGGUAACUGGAAUUUCUAGUGUAGGGGUGAAAUCCGUAGAUAUUAGAAGGAACACCAAUAGCGUAAGCAGGUUGCUGGGACGGUUCUGACACUAAGGCACGAAAGCGUAGGGAGCAAACGGGAUUAGAUACCCCAGUAGUC